rnacentral:rRNA from 1 species
UACAGAGGGGGCAAGCGUUGUUCGGAAUUACUGGGCGUAAAGGGCUCGUAGGUGGCCAACUAAGUCGGACGUGAAAUCCCCAGGCUCAACCUGGGAACUGCGUCCGAUACUGGAUGGCUUGAAUCCGGGAGAGGGAUGCAGAAUUCCAGGUGUAGCGGUGAAAUGCGUAGAUAUCUGGAGGAAUACCGGUGGCGAAGGCGGCAUCCUGGACCGGCAUUGACGCUGAGGAGCGAAAGCCAGGGGAGCAAACGGG